AUUGUGUCUAACGGAAGCGAGUAGCUCAAGGAAAGAAAAUAUUAAGCACUCAGUCCUAAAUUCCUGGCCUCACAGAAAGUCCUGAAACCGUGGACUUUCACUGACUGAACUAGAAACUCCUUGGGUUUGGGGACUCUGGACAAAAGCCACCUAAAUGAAACCUUGAUCAUUAAUGGCUCAGGCCAGACGUGUCUUCUCAGAGCCAGAGAUUUUCAGUCACGAUUUCAAGUAGGCCUUCAGUGGGCUGCCCAUUCGUGUCCACUCUGGGGUCCACAGGAAGAAGGAGUCAAGCCUCCAUACUAAGACCAAUUUGACUGACACUGUGGUGUGGACGGGCAGAGUGGUGGGGUAACUUGCCGCAGCUCACACGUCGUCGUCAGAAGAGAAGGAGACACCUGCCCGCUCUGUCGCCUGCUCCACCUUUAUUCAUCCCACCUAGGGAUUUGGAUCCAGCGAUUCGGAUUUUUUACCAGGUGAAGAAAGUUCAGCAGGUCCACAGGAGAGGUGCCUCCCCCUGAGGUUUGGGCCACCCAGACGCUGCUUCCUAGAAACAUUGUGAAGAAGACCCACAGCAGAGAAAAAUGACAUUCCAAGAAACAUGCCCAGAAAACAAAGAAACGGAGAUAUGGGUUCCUGACUUGAUGUGCCAAUAUCUGCUGCUCUCAAUAGAAGCCAAACCAAUGGGACGGCCUCUUCUUGAACUUUGAUCCUUCAAAGCUGGGAGCUGAAUCCAUCUUUUCUCCUUAUAUAGAUCGAAAAUGACACAAGACCUAUAAGCAAGAUAUUUUAAUUCUUGAAACUUAUGACUGCAGAUGGCAAUUUAUGACAGGCAUCUGGAACAAGCCGGGCCUAUGCUAUAGAGGCUGGUGAUACAGUGGGUAGGAGAGAGGUUGGCACACUUUUCUGUAAGCCUUUGAGGCUUUUAAGGAUGCAGAAAUUCUGCUGCAACACUCAACUCUGCUCUUGUAGUGUAGAAGAGUCAUAGAGACCACAUGAAUGUGUUGUAGGAAAACUUCAUUACAAAAUCAGGCAGUGGGAUGCAUUUGGAUUAUGGGCUGUAGUUUGCAGACCCCGGUUCUUGAAGGGUGAAUCAGCAUUGAAUGUAUAAUUCCAAGCUGAAUAUACCAUUAUAUAUCAUGGUACAUGCCCUCGAUAAAGAAAUGAAGCAGUUACUAUGCUAGAGAAAAAAUGAGGUUUGGGAAAAUUAGCUUUUAAUUUUCACUGGUGGGGGGAGAGAAGAGAGCAACGGAGUCGAGUAUGGCACAUCUAUGUUCCUGAUCUCAAAUCCUUAGUGAAGUUUACACAAGUCGAAAGAUGCUUGUGCUGCAUGGCUUUAUUGUGGACACCAGUGGAUGAGCUCAGGAAUGCACCCAGGCUAACAUGCUGCCAGUGAACAGCACAAAGGAGAGAACAGCGAGGAGUCCCUGGUGCUGUUGGAUUGCAUGUAUGUGCCUAGAAGAAAGAUCUAGAAGCUUACAUAUCAACUGUAAGCAGAAGUCAGCCUGAGGGUGCAUUUUGGGUGGGCAGGUAGCAAAGCCUGGAACACCUUCACUGUUCUAGACUCUUCUUCCCUUUUGGAAUAGUUUGAAAUAAAUGUGUAUAACUUCUAUAAAAAUAACAGUGUUUUCACUGUUUUCGUGUUACUGCGGAUAGCCCAAUCUCUCCGAUAAGGACUCUGAAGACAUUGCUAAAGACAGAACCCAAAUUAUUUUAGUCAGGCUACAAUUAGACCUCACUGUGCAUGAAGUGCAAAAAAAAAAAAUCAGCUCCAGAUGAAUAAAGAUCAGAAUAUGAAAGGCAAAAAUUCAAGACUUUUAUUAGACACCGUAGAGGAAUAUCUACUUGACCUCAGGGUUAGAACAAGGUUGAAAAUGCUGAUUGCACUUGACUACACCGAAAUUAAGAACAUCCAUUUGUGAAAGAAAGUAAAAAAGCAAACUGUGGAAGUAUAUAUCCAAGCCAUCUAAUAAACGAAGAGCUCACAUUCAGAAUGAACUCCUGCAAAUCAGCAAGCAAGAAAAAAAUAAACUCAAUAAAAAAUAAUGCUUGAAAUAGGCAUAGUAUAAAAGAAACAAAAUGGCCCAAAACUUGGAAAAUUACUCAGCCAUAUUUAUAAUCCAGGAAAUGGAAAUUAACAAGAGGUUGGCAAAAAAUACAAGGACUGACCACACUUGGCAAAGAAUAGGGUGUGGAAUAUCAGAGCUGAGGGAAAUUUCUUGUGUGAAUGUACACGGGUACAAGUCCUUUGGAGAAGAGAUGGCAUUGCAUCUAUGUGGAAGGUGGGUAUGUGCUAUGAUCCAAGUAAUUCACUUCUGGUAGUAUAUCCUAGAAACCAGUGCAUGUGAACACUAGAAAAUACCAGAGUGGUAACAGCAGUGCUGUUCACCAUAGUAAGAAAUGAAAUAAUGCAGUGCCUACCAAAACAGUCACAUACUCAUACAAUAAAAUCCUAUUGAAAAUCAGCGGCAGCUAAGAACAACAUGGAAAUGAUAUUGAGCAAAAACAGACACAUAAAUUCUACUUAUUUAAGGUUUCGAAACUAGGUUGUUUGGGAAUUCGUGCCUUUAUGGUAAAACUGCACUGAAAUGCAAACAGCUAGAAGAGGGGUUGCUGCACAAGAUAGGAGGGAGGAUGGUGUGCAUGAGAAGACAGGGAAAGGUUUCUGGAUACUGUCUACUUAGUUCUUAAAAUUGUGGUGAAAUAGACACAAGAAGUACCAUCUUAACCCUUUGGCGGUCCUGCAAGUGCAGGGAACGAACGCACUGAGAACACGGGCUUUGCAGGGCGCCAUCACCACCACCCACCUCCAGGGCUUCUCACCUUUGCCAGAGAAACUCUGAACCCACCAAACAGGAACUACCCAGAUCUCUUCUCUCACCCUCUGAAAACCACCCUUCCACCAUCUCUCUCUACUCUGGGUACAUCAUAUGAUGGAGUCAUUGCCCUUCUACACCAGGUCACUGUACCGAGCACAAUGUCUUUGUGGUUCAUCCACAUUGUAGUGUGUGUUGGGAGUUCCUGAUGAAUCAUCUUCCACCCUAUGUAUGUCUGUCCCAUUUUGUUCACUCUUCAUC